rnacentral:rRNA from 1 species
GAUGAACGCUGGCGGCGUGCCUAAUACAUGCAAGUCGAGCGAACGGACGAGAAGCUUGCUUCUCUGAUGUUAGCGGCGGACGGGUGAGUAACACGUGGAUAACCUACCUAUAAGACUGGGAUAACUUCGGGAAACCGUAGCUAAUACCGGAUAAUAUUUUGAACCGCAUGGUUCAAAAGUGAAAGACGGUCUUGCUGUCACUUAUAGAUGGAUCCGCGCUGCAUUAGCUAGUUGGUAAGGUAACGGCUUACCAAGGCAACGAUGCAUAGCCGACCUGAGAGGGUGAUCGGCCACACUGGAACUGAGACACGGUCCAGACUCCUACGGGAGGCAGCAGUAGGGAAUCUUCCGCAAUGGGCGAAAGCCUGACGGAGCAACGCCGCGUGAGUGAUGAAGGUCUUCGGAUCGUAAAACCCUGUUAUUAGGGAAGAACAUAUGUGUAAGUAACUAUGCACAUCUUGACGGUACCUAAUCAGAAAGCCACGGCUAACUACGUG